rnacentral:rRNA from 1 species
AUUGAACGCUGGCGGCAGGCUUAACACAUGCAAGUCGAGCGGGGUGAUGGUGCUUGCACUAUCACUUAGCGGCGGACGGGUGAGUAAUGCUUAGGAAUCUGCCUAUUAGUGGGGGACAACAUCUCGAAAGGGAUGCUAAUACCGCAUACGUCCUACGGGAGAAAGCAGGGGAUCACUUGUGACCUUGCGCUAAUAGAUGAGCCUAAGUCGGAUUAGCUAGUUGGUGGGGUAAAGGCCUACCAAGGCGACGAUCUGUAGCGGGUCUGAGAGGAUGAUCGGCCAAACUGGGACUGAGACACGGCCCAGACUCCUACGGGAGGCAGCAGUGGGGAAUACUGGACAAUGGGGGGAACCCUGAUCCAGCCAUGCCGCGUGUGUGAAGAAGGCCUUAUGGUUGUAAAGCACUUUAAGCGAGGAGGAGGCUCUUUUGGUUAAUACCCAAGAUGAGUGGACGUUACUCGCAGAAUAAGCACCGGCUAACUCUGUGCCAGCCGCCGCCGUAA